rnacentral:rRNA from 1 species
UACGAACCGGACGAACGUUAUUCGGAAUUAUUGGGCUUAAAGGGUGCGUAGGCGGCGCGGUAAGUGAGGUGUGAAAGCCCACGGCUCAACCGUGGAACUGCGCUUCAUACUGCCGUGCUUGAGGGAGACAGAGGUAAGCGGAACUGAUGGUGGAGCGGUGAAAUGCGUUGAUAUCAUCAGGAACACCGGUGGCGAAAGCGGCUUACUGGGUCUCUUCUGACGCUGAGGCACGAAAGCUAGGGUAGCGAACGGG